rnacentral:lncRNA from 1 species
CGCUUUUUUGAGUGCCCAUGGAAGUAAGCACUAGCAAUCAAUACUCUUAACUGAAAUCCAAGUUCCAAUAAUCAUCAAGAGUAUAACAUUCCUCUUUAGUUUGCUUUUAGUUCUCAUUGUGAGAUCACAAGUGGAGGCUCCAACCAGUCCAGAAGUUCCUUUCUAUGGGGAAGCUGUGGCAGCAAGGCCGUGAAGAGAGUCUGACUUAAUUGCAA